GACGAACGCUGGCGGCGUGCUUAACACAUGCAAGUCGAACGGAAAGGCCCUGCUUUUGUGGGGUGCUCGAGUGGCGAACGGGUGAGUAACACGUGAGUAACCUGCCCUUGACUUUGGGAUAACUUCAGGAAACUGGGGCUAAUACCGGAGAGGAUCUCCUGCUGCAUGGGGGGGGUUGGAAAGUUUCGGCGGUUGGGGAUGGACUCGCGGCUUAUCAGCUUGUUGGUGGGGUAGUGGCUUACCAAGGCUUUGACGGGUAGCCGGCCUGAGAGGGUGACCGGCCACAUUGGGACUGCGAUACGGCCCAGACUCCUACGGGAGGCAGCAGUGGGGAAUAUUGCACAAUGGGCGGAAGCCUGAUGCAGCAACGCCGCGUGCGGGAUGCCGGCCUUCGGGUUGUAAACCGCUUUCGCCUGUGACGAAGCGUGAGUGACGGUAAUGAGUAAAGAAGCACCGGCUAACUACGUG
rnacentral:rRNA from 1 species